UACGUAGGGUGCAAGCGUUGUCCGGAAUUAUUGGGCGUAAAGAGCUCGUAGGCGGUUUGUCGCGUCUGCCGUGAAAUCCGGAGGCUCAACCUCCGGCCUGCAGUGGGUACGGGCAGACUAGAGUGCGGUAGGGGAGAUUGGAAUUCCUGGUGUAGCGGUGGAAUGCGCAGAUAUCAGGAGGAACACCGAUGGCGAAGGCAGAUCUCUGGGCCGUAACUGACGCUGAGGAGCGAAAGCGUGGGGAGCGAACAGG
rnacentral:rRNA from 1 species